AUUUAUGGAAGAGAGAGCCCAAAGAUGGAAAAAGAAGGAUCUCAAGGGCAAAAUCUAAAUAUAGAAUGCGGAUUGCAUCUCUUCUGCACAUGAGUGGAUUGCUUUACCUGUCAAAAAUGAAAGGGAAAUGGUUGCGGAAGAACGGAAGGAAGAUCAAGCAAGUCAAAGAUCCUUCAUGGUCCAAUUAAUUAGCUAUGUUGCGCUAGAAGUCCUUUAGCUCAGUAAGUUUUUGAUUGAAGGGUUCAGUCUGACAAUGAAGACCUCUUGUGAUGUAUUGAAAGGUCAAAGCUUCCCUGAGCAGAAGCGUGUGG
rnacentral:misc_RNA from 1 species